rnacentral:piRNA from 1 species
UGCACAUCUUCAGAUCUCGGCAGUGC